AACUGUAAAGGAACAUGAUUGCAACAGGAAGGGAGAGGAACAUCCUGAGUAUAAAGCCUGCAGCAGGAUAGUUGAGAUAGCAAGCCUGAGCACAAUGCACAGCUGCAGUGCAGGAGAGGACUCCAGGCUAGAAGUUCCAAUCUGAUGCUAAUCACAAAAUCCUCGAGACUGUGAGACGUCCGUGCUCACCUCCCUCCUGCUGGCAAGAAAGGAACACAGGCUGCAGAGGAGCUGCAGAGGAGUGGGGCUGGUAGGAUGGAUGUGGCCCAACAAACCUUGUUCUCUGUCAGCAUCCUGCAUUUUUGAAGCAGAGGCCAUGAACAUUGGCCUUUUGUGUGUUCUCUGGAAAUGGCUGCCGUGA
rnacentral:lncRNA from 1 species